rnacentral:misc_RNA from 1 species
UCGAUAUAUUCGAGGGAGACCUCGUUCAAUAUAUAUUACACAAACACCUCGUGCACCCUCUAAACGUGAAAGGGAAGGAGUUCACGCUCCUCUCCGUUUUCCGUUUUUUCUUCUUAUAUAAACACCUUCUGUCGUUUAACGCGUGUAUUUUUGAGUAAUUUGAAAUUGACA